rnacentral:rRNA from 1 species
GGCAGCAGUGGGGAAUCUUCGGCAAUGGGCGAAAGCCUGACCGAGCAACGCCGCGUGAAUGAUGAAGGCCUUCGGGUUGUAAAAUUCUGUUAUAAGGGAAGAACGACUUUAGUAGGAAAUGGCUAAAGUGUGACGGUACCUUAUGAGAAAGCCACGGCUAACUACGUGCCAGCAGCCGCGGUAAUACGUAGGUGGCAAGCGUUAUCCGGAAUUAUUGGGCGUAAAGAGCGCGCAGGUGGUUGAUUAAGUCUGAUGUGAAAGCCCACGGCUUAACCGUGGAGGGUCAUUGGAAACUGGUCGACUUGAGUGCAGAAGAGGGAAGUGGAAUUCCAUGUGUAGCGGUGAAAUGCGUAGAGAUAUGGAGGAACACCAGUGGCGAAGGCGGCUUCCUGGUCUGUAACUGACACUGAGGCGCGAAAGCGUGGGGAGCAAACAGGAUUAGAUACCCUGGUAGUCCACGCCGUAAACGAUGAGUGCUAAGUGU